CAGCUUUUCAUUAUGAAGGGAAAUAUAAUACAGUGUCGUAGUGGACCAUGGAAUGGCCUCCAGUUUACAGGGAGUCCUCAGCUGAAACCAAACCCAAUAUUUAAUUUUAUAUUUGUGUCAAAUAAGGAUGAGAUGAGGUAUAUUAUUCAUACGAGCUCAAAAAUAGUUCAGUUGUUUCGAGGUUAAUAAUAAGUGACAAAGGGGUUCUAGAGCGGCAUAUUUGGAUUGAUCGAACACAGAGUUGGACGCUAUUCUUUGGAGUUCCAACAGAUCAAUGUGACACUUAUGCAUUGUGUGGUCAAUAUGCGAGUUGCAACAUCAAUAACUAUCCUGUAUGUGCAUGCUUGGAAGGGUUUGUACCCAAAUCCCCAACAGCUUGGAG
rnacentral:misc_RNA from 1 species